AGGAAUGUUUUCCAAGGGGGCACUCUACGUGGGACUGCCGUCGAUAAGACGAGGAAGGAGCGGGCCACGGCAGGUCAGAUGCCCCGAAUCCCCCGGGCUACUCGCGAGCUGCAAUGGCAGGACAAUGGGUUCCGACCUUAUAAAGAAGGCAAUCUUAAACCCUGCCUCAGUUGGGGUCGAGGCUAAACUCGCCUUCGUAACAUGAAUGCCUAGAAUUGCGCGUCAUCAUCGCGCGGUGAAUACGUCCCCGCUCCUUGCACACACCGCCCGUCGCUCCAUCCGACGUGGGGUUUGGGUGAGGCGUGGUCUUUUUGGCUGGCGUCGAAUCUCGAUGUUCCGCAAGGAGGGAGAAGUCGUAACAACGGUAGCCGUAAUCAU
rnacentral:rRNA from 1 species